UCAGGUUCUUUUGGUGCUUGUAACCUUUUAAUCCUCAUGGGUCUGCGACAUUAACCUUAGAAAGAAAGGUAUAGUCAGUUCUGUCUUCGAUCUGUGAGUGAUGAUGAGAGGAAAACUCGUGAGUCAAUAAAAAGCAGGGAAACAACGACCGACCAAUGAGAAAGCUGAGGCCGAUGCUGCGUAGAGCGAAUUUGGCCGACCCUUUGAGUGGUGAUGAGAAGAAAACUGAUCAUGAUCAGACGAUAAAAAACAGGGAAGAAACAACAAAAGGAAAUAAUCAUGACGUGAAAAGCAUGCGAAAACUACGGUUUGGGUUUCCAGGAUGAUCUGCCUUACAAAAAGGCCCCAAGUUUCUCGGAUUUGAUGACACGCACACAAUCAGCUGCUUUUUAGAUUAUAUAAAAUAGGGAUUAAAUAAAGCAUGGAAGGGUAUUAUACUUUAUUUAGUUAUGAGUUGUAUGCAACUCUAAAAACCUCUAUUAUGUGUAUUAUACCUUAUUUAUAUAUGAUUAAGGAAUCAAACUUGCAACUCUAUUUUGUGUAUUAAAA